CUUAAUAGUUUUUUUUGUUGGUGGGGGGAUGAAAAGUUGAUACUACAAAGUCCUAACACAUAUGAGGCUCUUCAUCUCUCUAUGAAGCCGAUGUAAUAGGCAAAGCUUUCUUAUCUUGUCAAAGAGAAGAAAGCUCGAGCUUAUCAAGCGUCAUACUCGAUGGAACCAAACAUCAAGCCUUCUCCAUGAUGUACUCCACAGCAUCCCAGCAGUUGCUCCAUAUGCUCUCACCUAUCGCGACCAACACCUGCAGCACUCCGUCGAACACCUGCGUGAAGGCCUCGGCCAACGCGUCGAGCGCGCUCCUGCUCGUCGCCGGGAGCUCCGCAACCGCCGAUACCGUGAGCCGGAGAGCCCCAGCCACGACGCUCGUAAGCGCCUCGAGCAAGCUCGAGACGAGGGACAUGACCACGUCCCUGACGAGCUCCAGCGCGCACUGCAGCGCCCACCAGAGGAGGCCGCGGGCUAGCUCAACCGCAUCGUUGCAGGCUUCUCCGAGGAUCUUGAACAGGUUGACGAAGGCUAUUAGGGCAGCAGUUGCAGCUCUGAUGACAACAGCACUUGCUAAGCAUGCCAGUGAACCGGUCGCCCAGAGUACAAACUGCAGCAGAGGAAGUGCCAUUGCCUGCUGAUCAAUGGUGGUGUAGAUUACAAGGAGAACAGCAUGUUUCUUAUACAAAACCACAGAGAGUUAAAAGAGUUUAUGAGAGGAGACAAAUGUUCUUUGUUUUGCUGACUACUAUAUUCAAAUGUCACGGAGACUUGGUCUUUUAACUUAAUGUAAAUUAUAACAACUAUAUUAUAAGAUAGAAGACUUUGGCUAUUCUUGGUUAGCUGAAAUGUUCUAAUCAGCAGUCACUAGUUCAUAGAGGAAACAUGUCAUCAAGAAAGAUCAUUGUAAUCAAACUAAAAACCUUUACAAAAAGCAUGAGCAAAUAUGUUAGUGCAAUCUAUUAGCAAGAUAACAGGAAGAACUGAAAAUAUUAGAACAAUCUUACAAAAUACACCCAGUCCAGUGAACAAGUUACUUCUAAGAGAGUUCAUUUUCCAAGAGAAAGAAGACAACACAUAAUCACAAUUAGAGAUCCAGCAAUUAUAAGACAAAAGAGAGAGAACCUUUGAGUCUUUAACAGUUCUACCUCAUUAGCACACAAAGCAUCAAGUGAAGAAUCAUGGCAAGCAUAAAUAUGUAGGGAAAAGCCAAGUGCUAUGUAUGAUGGUACUCAUGUAUGGAGAAGAGUAAAGAGAGGGCAAGAGCUGCUUUUAGACAUGUCAUGAGAACAGAAUGAUGUGAUCUUCCAUGACCUGGGAGAAAUAGGCAAUUGCAAAUAAGAAGAAGACUUUGGAUUCACUGUCAAGAAAUUAGAUACUAAAAGAAAUGAGAAGAGGACAGAAGAGCUCUAUCAACCAGAGCAAAAAUGAAGAACCAGUCACUAAGACUCAUAUAUUUCAGAGAAGUGAUACUGAACUUUUUGCACAGAGAAGCAAAAAGAAAGCUUUGGA
rnacentral:lncRNA from 1 species